rnacentral:rRNA from 1 species
AGAGUUUGAUCCUGGCUCAGGAUGAACGCUAGCGGCAGGCUUAACACAUGCAAGUCGAGGGGUAACAUUGUAGCUUGCUACAGAUGACGACCGGCGCACGGGUGCGUAACGCGUAUACAAUCUACCUUUUGCUGAGGGAUAGCCCAGAGAAAUUUGGAUUAAUACUUCAUAGUAUUAUUUAUUGGCAUCAAUAAGUAAUAAAGGUUACGGCAAAAGAUGAGUAUGCGUUCUAUUAGCUAGAUGGAGUGGUAACGGCACACCAUGGCAACGAUAGAUAGGGGCCCUGAGAGGGGGAUCCCCCACACUGGUACUGAGACGCGGACCAGACUCCUACGGGAGGCAGCAGUGAGGAAUAUUGGACAAUGGAGGCAACUCUGAUCCAGCCAUGCCGCGUGCAGGAAGACUGCCCUAUGGGUUGUAAACUGCUUUUAUACAGGAAGAAACAGCUCUUCGCGAAGAGCCUUGACGGUACUGUAAGAAUAAGGAUCGGCUAACUCCGUGCCAGCAGCCGCGGUAAUACGGAGGAUCCAAGCGUUAUCCGGAAUCAUUGGGUUUAAAGGGUCCGUAGGUGGAUAAUUAAGUCAGAGGUGAAAUCCUGCAGCUCAACUGUAGAAUUGCCUUUGAUACUGGUUAUCUUGAGUUAUUAUGAAGUAGUUAGAAUAUGUAGUGUAGCGGUGAAAUGCAUAGAUAUUACAUAGAAUACCAAUUGCGAAGCAGAUUACUAAUAAUAUACUGACACUGAUGGACGAAAGCGUGGGGAGCGAACAGGAUUAGAUACCCUGGUAGUCCACGCCGUAAACGAUGGUUACUAGCUGUUCGAACUUCGGUUUGAGUGGCUAAGCGAAAGUGAUAAGUAACCCACCUGGGGAGUACGUUCGCAAGAAUGAAACUCAAAGGAAUUGACGGGGGCCCGCACAAGCGGUGGAGCAUGUGGUUUAAUUCGAUGCAACGCGAAGAACCUUACCAUCCCUUACAUCCAGAGAAGCGACUAGAGAUAGACGUGUGCCUUCGGGAACUCUGUGACAGGUGCUGCAUGGCUGUCGUCAGCUCGUGUUGUGAAAUGUUGGGUUAAGUCCCGCAACGAGCGCAACCCCUAUCCUUAUUUGCCAGCGCGUUAUGGCGGGAACUCUAAGGAGACUGCCGGUGAUAAACCGGAGGAAGGUGGGGACGACGUCAAGUCAUCAUGGCCCUUACGGGAUGGGCUACACACGUGCUACAAUGGCCGGUACAAGGGCUGCAAACCCGCGAGGGGGAGCUAAUCCCACAAAGCCGGCCUAAGUUCGGAUUGUAGUCUGCAACUCGACUGCAUGAAGUCGGAAUCGCUAGUAAUCGUCUAUCAGCAACGAGACGGUGAAUACGUUCCCGGGCCUUGUACACACCGCCCGUCAAGCCAUGGAAGCCGGGAGUGCCCGAAGUCUGUGGCCCAACCUAGUGAGGGAGCAGCCGAAGGUAAGUUCGGUGACUGGGGCUAAGUCGUAACAAGGUAAC